GGGUAACCUGCCCAUAAGGAGGGGGAUAACAUCCGGGAAACGGGGUGCUAAUACCGCAUAGUUUUUCUUGAUCGCAUGAUCGGGAAAGGAAAGACGGCCUUUUGUGCUGUCGCUUAUGGAUGGACCCGCGGCGUAUUAGUUAGUUGGUGAGGUAAUGGCUCACCAAGACGAUGAUACGUAGCCGACCUGAGAGGGUGAUCGGCCACAUUGGGACUGAGACACCGGCCCAAACUCCGUACGGGAGGCAGCAGGUAGGGAAUCUUCCGCAAUGGACGAAGUCUGACGGAGCAACGCCGCGUGAGUGAAGAAGGGUUUUUUCCGGAUCGUAAAACUCUGUUGUCAGAGAAGAACAAGUUGGAGAGUAACUGCUCCAGCCUUGACGGUAUCUGACCAGAAAGCCACGGCUAACUACGUGCCAGCCGCUGC
rnacentral:rRNA from 1 species